GAACCGUUACGGGAACUGAAGCUGCCGAUUAAGCCUGAUCAAGAUGACAACCUCCCAAAAGCACCGAGACUUCGUGGCAGAGCCCAUGGGGGAGAAGCCAGUGGGGAGCCUGGCUGGGAUUGGUGAAGUCCUGGGCAAGAAGCUGGAGGAGAGGGGCUUUGACAAGGCCUAUGUUGUCCUUGGCCAGUUUCUGGUGCUAAAGAAAGAUGAAGAUCUCUUCCGGGAAUGGCUGAAGGACACGUGUGGCGCCAACGCCAAGCAGUCCCCGGACUGCUUCGGAUGCCUUCGAGAGUGGUGCGACGCCUUCUUGUGAUGCUCUCUGGGAAGCUCUCAAUCCCCAGCCCUCAUCCAGAGUUUGCAGCCGAGUAGGGACUCCUCCCCUGCCCUCUACGAAGGAAAAGAUUGCUAUUGUCGUACUCACCUCCGACGUACUCCAGGGUCGUUUGGGAGUUUUCUCCCCUAACCAUUUCAACUUUUUUGGAUUCUCGCUCUUGCAUGCCUCCCCCGCCCUUUUUCCCUUGCCAGUUCCCUGGUGAGAGUUACCAGCUUUCCUGAAUGGAUUCCUGGCCCCGUCCCUCACCCCCCACCCUCACUUUCAGUCCGUUUGAUACCAUUUGGCUCCUUUUUGGGCAGGACAGUCACUGUCCUUGUAAAGUUUUUUAGAUCAAUAAAGUGAGUGGCUUUCCAAAAAAAAAAAAAAAAAA